ACAGUUCGCGUCAAUAGUAAGAGAGGUGUUGAGCGGAAGCAGAGCUCUGGAGCGUGAGGACAGACAGUGGCUGUAAUGAUGGACGUGUGCUGAAGGACGGGACUCAUUUUCAAUGAUGCCACCCUUCCUUUUUCGUGUUCAGACUGAAGUACGUUAAGGUGGAUCUGUUUUGUCUUUUGCGAAAGGAAGAAGACGAGCAUCAAGUGAUUUCCAGUGGAUGCCAUGACCUCCUCCGGGACAGCUGAAAGCAGCACAUCAUGCGCAAGCUGUGGAAUCGUUUGAAUCCUCUCUGUCGCGUCUUAAGCAUCCAAGUGCAAUGUUUCAAAUAACUGCCCUGCUCAAAGCACAAAUUAAAUG